rnacentral:rRNA from 1 species
ACUCAAAUGAAUAGACGGGGACCCGCACAAGCGGUGGAACAUGUGGUUUAAUUCGAAGCAACGCGAAGAACCUUACCAGGGCUUGACAUCUGAGGAAUGCGAUGGAAACAUUGCAGUGCUCUUCGGAGAACCUCAAGACAGGUGGUGCACGGUUGUCGUCAGCUCGUGUCGUGAGAUGUUGGGUUAAGUCCCGCAACGAGCGCAACCCUCGUGGUUAGUUGCAUGCAACGGUAUACUGUUGCAGUGCUCUCUAGCCAGACUGCCGGUGAUAAACCGGAGGAAGGUGGGGACGACGUCAAAUCAUCAUGCCCCUUAUGCUCUGGGCUACACACGUGUUACAAUGGCUGGUACAACGAGUCGCCAAUCAGCGAUGAUGAGCAAAUCUCUUAAAACCAGUCUCAGUUCGGAUUGCACUCUGCAACUCGAGUGCAUGAAGUCGGAAUCGCUAGUAAACGCAGAUCAGCACGCUGCGUUGAAUACGUUCCCGGGUCUUGCACACACCGCCCGU